UUGAACGCUGGCGGAAUGCUUUACACAUGCAAGUCGAACGGCAGCACGGGGGCAACCCUGGUGGCGAGUGGCGAACGGGUGAGUAAUGUAUCGGAACGUGCCCAGUCGUGGGGGAUAACUAUCCGAAAGGAUAGCUAAUACCGCAUACGUCCUGAGGGAGAAAGCGGGGGAUCGCAAGACCUCGCGCGACAGGAGCGGCCGAUAUCGGAUUAGCUAGUUGGUGAGGUAAAGGCUCACCAAGGCGACGAUCCGUAGCGGGUCUGAGAGGACGACCCGCCACACUGGAACUGAGACACGGUCCAGACUCCUACGGGAGGCAGCAGUGGGGAAUUUUGGACAAUGGGGGCAACCCUGAUCCAGCCAUUCCGCGUGAGUGAAGAAGGCCUUCGGGUUGUAAAGCUCUUUCAGCAGGAACGAAACGGUGGCCCCUAAUACGGGCCACUAAUGACGGUACCUGAAGAAGAAGCACCGGCUAACUACGU
rnacentral:rRNA from 1 species